rnacentral:rRNA from 1 species
ACAGAGGUCCCAAGCGUUGUUCGGAUUUACUGGGCGUAAAGGGUGCGUAGGAGGUUGAGAAAGUCGGAUGUGAAAGCUCACUGCUUAACGGUGAAACUGCAUUCGAAACUUCUUGACUCGAGGAUCAGAAAGGAAAGCGGAAUUCUUGGUGUAGCGGUGAAAUGCGUAGAUAUCAAGAGGAACGCCAAUGGCGAAAGCAGCUUUCUGGAGGAUUCCUGACUCUGAGGCACGAAGGCUAGGGUAGCAAACAG